rnacentral:rRNA from 1 species
UACGUAGGCAGCGAGCGUUGUCCGGAAUCAUUGGGCGUAAAGAGCGUGUAGGCGGCUCGAUUAGUCCGCUGUAAAAGUCCAGGGCUCAACCCAGGGCCUGCAUCGGAAACUGUCGGGCUUGAGUAUGGGAGAGGUGAGUGGAAUUUCCGGUGUAGCGGUGAAAUGCGUAGAUAUCGGAAGGAACACCUGUGGCGAAAGCGGCUCACUGGACCAUUACUGACGCUGAGGCACGAAAGCUAGGGGAGCAAACAGG